rnacentral:rRNA from 1 species
GAUGAACGCUGGCGGCGUGCCUAAUACAUGCAAGUCGAGCGAAUGGAUUAAGAGCUUGCUCUUAUGAAGUUAGCGGCGGACGGGUGAGUAACACGUGGGUAACCUGCCCAUAAGACUGGGAUAACUCCGGGAAACCGGGGCUAAUACCGGAUAACAUUUUGAACCGCAUGGUUCGAAAUUGAAAGGCGGCUUCGGCUGUCACUUAUGGAUGGACCCGCGUCGCAUUAGCUAGUUGGUGAGGUAACGGCUCACCAAGGCAACGAUGCGUAGCCGACCUGAGAGGGUGAUCGGACACGCUGGGACUGAGACACGGCCCAGACUGCUACGGGAGGCAGCAGUAGGGAAUCUUCCGCAAUGGACGAAAGUCUGACGGAGCAACGCCGCGUGAGUGAUGAAGGCUUUCGGGUCGUAAAACUCUGUUGUUAGGGAAGAACAAGUGCUAGUUGAAUAAGCUGGCACCUUGACGGUACCUAACCAGAAAGCCACGGCUAACUACGUGCCAGCCGCCGCGGUAA